rnacentral:rRNA from 1 species
CGUGCAGGUGGCUCUGUAAGUUGGAUGUGAAAUUUCCCGGCUUAACCGGGAGGGGUCAUUCAAUACUGCGGGGCUGGAGGGCAGAAGAGGGGGGUGGAAUUGCCGGUGUAGUGGUGAAAUGCGUAGAUAUCGGCAGGAACACCUGUGGCGAAAGCGGCCCCCUGGUCUGCUCCUGACACUCAGACGCGAAAGCUAGGGGAGCGAACGGGAUUAGAAACCCCGGUAGUCCUAGCCGUAAACGAUGGAUGCUAGGUGUAGGUGGUAUUGACCCCAUCUGUGCCGAAGCUAACGCGUUAAGCAUCCCGCCUGGGGACUACGGCCGCAAGGUUAAA